rnacentral:rRNA from 1 species
UAGCUAGUUGGUGAGGUAACGGCCCACCAAGGCGACGAUCGGUAGCCGGACUGAGAGGUUGAACGACCACAUUGGGACUGAGACGCGGCCCAGACUCCUACGGGAGGCAGCAGUGGGGAAUAUUGCACAAUGGGGGAAACCCUGAUGCAGCGACGCCGCGUGGAGGAAGAAGGUCUUCGGAUUGUAAACUCCUGUUGUUGAGGAAGAUAAUGACGGUACUCAACAAGGAAGUGACGGCUAACUACGUGCCAGCAGCCGCGGUAAAACGUAGGUCACAAGCGUUGUCCGGAAUUACUGGGUGUAAAGGGAGCGCAGGCGGGAAGGCAAGUUGGAAGUGAAAUCCAUGGGCUCAACCCAUGAACUGCUUUCAAAACUGUUUUUCUUGAGUAGUGCAGAGGUAGGCGGAAUUCCCGGUGUAGCGGUGGAAUGCGUAGAUAUCGGGAGGAACACCAGUGGCGAAGGCGGCCUACUGGGCACCAACUGACGCUGAGGCUCGAAAGUGUGGGUAGCAAACAGGAUUAGAUACCCUGGUAGUCCACACUGUAAACGAUGAUUACUAGGUGUUGGAGGAUUGACUCCUUCAGUGCCGCAGUUAACACAAUAAGUAAUCCACCUGGGGAGUACGACCGCAAGGUUGGAACUCAAAGGAAUUGACGGGGGCCCGCACAAGCAGUGGAGUAUGUGGUUUAAUUCGACGCAACGCGAAGAACCUUACCAAGUCUUGACAUCCUGCGACGCACAUAGAAAUAUGUGUUUCCUUCGGGACGCAGAGACAGGUGGUGCAUGGUUGUCGUCAGCUCGUGUCGUGAGAUGUUGGGUUAAGUCCCGCAACGAGCGCAACCCUUAUGGUCAGUUACUACGCAAGAGGACUCUGGCCAGACUGCCGUUGACAAAACGGAGGAAGGUGGGGAUGACGUCAAAUCAUCAUGCCCUUUAUGACUUGGGCUACACACGUACUACAAUGGCGUUAAACAAAGAGAAGCAAGACCGCGAGGUGGAGCAAAACUCAGAAACAACGUCCCAGUUCGGACUGCAGGCUGCAACUCGCCUGCACGAAGUCGGAAUUGCUAGUAAUCGCAGAUCAGCAUGCUGCGGUGAAUACGUUCCCGGGCCUUGUACACACCGCCCGUCACACCAUGAGAGCCGGGGGGACCCGAAGUCGGUAGUCUAACCGCAAGGAGGACGCCGCCGAAGGUAAAACUGGUGAUUGGGGUGAAGUCGUAACAAGGUAGCCGUAGGAGAACCUGCGGCUG